rnacentral:rRNA from 1 species
CCUACGGGAGGCAGCAGUGGGGAAUUUUGGACAAUGGGGGCAACCCUGAUCCAGCCAUUCCGCGUGAGUGAAGAAGGCCUUCGGGUUGUAAAGCUCUUUUGUCGGGGACGAAACGGUUACGAUUAAUACUCGUGACAACUGACGGUACCCGAAGAAUAAGCGCCGGCUAACUACGUGCCAGCAGCCGCGGUAAUACGUAGGGUGCGAGCGUUAAUCGGAAUUACUGGGCGUAAAGCGUGCGCAGGCGGUUUUGUAAGCCAGAUGUGAAAUCCCCGGGCUUAACCUGGGAAUGGCAUUUGGGACUGCAAGGCUAGAGUAUGGCAGAGGAGACUAGAAUUUCUGGUGUAGCAGUGAAAUGCGUAGAUAUCAGAAGGAAUACCGAUGGCGAAGGCAGGUCUCUGGGUCAAUACUGACGCUCAUGCACGAAAGCGUGGGGAGCAAACAGGAUUAGAUACCCUGGUAGUCCACGCCCUAAACGAUGUCAACUGGUUGUUGGGAGAUUUAUUCUCUUAGUAACGAAGCUAACGCGUGAAGUUGACCGCCUGGGGAGUACGGUCGCAGAUUAAAACGUCAAAGGAAUUGACGG